rnacentral:snRNA from 1 species
AUACUUACUGGCAGGGGAGAUACCCUGAUCACAAAGGUGUUUUUUCUCAGGGAAGGCUUAUCCAUUGCUUCCGGAUGUGCUGAUUCCUGCGAUUUCCCCAAAUGCGGGAAACUCGACUGCCUAAUUUGUGGUAUUUUGGGGACUGCGAUCGCCGUGAUCUCCUC